GAUGAACGCUGGCGGCGUGCCUAAUACAUGCAAGUCGAGCGAACAGACGAGGAGCUUGCUCCUUCGACGUUAGCGGCGGACGGGUGAGUAACACGUGGUUAACCUACCUAUAAGACUGGGAUAACUUCGGGAAACCGGAGCUAAUACCGGAUAAUAUUUCGAACCGCAUGGUUCGAUAGUGAAAGAUGGCUUUGCUAUCACUUAUAGAUGGACCUGCGCCGUAUUAGCUAGUUGGUAAGGUAACGGCUUACCAAGGCAACGAUACGUAGCCGACCUGAGAGGGGGAUCGGCCACACUGGAACUGAGACACGGUCCAGACUCCUACGGGAGGCAGCAGUAGGGAAUCUUCCGCAAUGGGCGAAAGCCUGACGGAGCAACGCCGCGUGAGUGAUGAAGGUCUUCGGAUCGUAAAACUCUGUUAUUAGGGAAGAACAAAAGUGUAAGUAACUGUGCACGUCUUGACGGUACCUAAUCAGAAAGCCACGGCUAACUACGUG
rnacentral:rRNA from 1 species